AAGAAACUGUUCAACUUUUUCUUAAUUAGAAUCUAAAAAAACAUACCGUAAGUAACGGUCUAUUAACCGCACCUUUUUCUUGGCGGGAUAGAAGCAAAGUCGGGGGUGCGGUUUAUCCACGGUGACGGGUCUGAGCCAGCCCGUCGUAACCCCUCUGCCAGUUCACAACACAUCGAGUGGCCGGGCGUAGCCGCCCAGGGCAAUGUCGUUUAGAGGGGUAUGAGCUGCGGGUAAUGAGAAGCGAUUAAUAUAACAAACGCACCCACCUUCAUGACACUAAUUUCGACUUUAUUCUCGGUUCAAAGCAGCGAAGUUCCCUGGCUAAGUUCAAAGAGAAGCCAAGCAUACUCGGUAAUAUUUUGUCACAGCUGAGCAAGCGCGAGAGUUGAGUUAGCUGAGCUAGCUUGCGUUGUAUAUAUUGUGGUUAUAGUGCGACUUAAGCUGGCGCUAUUCAUUUUAACCCUCGAUCCCCUCGAAAGUCCCGUUUCGCGCCAGCUUAUUUUUUCUUUCCCGUUUGCUUUUCAUAAGAUACCAUGUACACCACGCAACGAGAGAGACGGCACGAAGCCGUCAAAACAACUGUAAAAAAAUGCAAAUUUCUUUGUUUCUUGAACCCUCCUGUAAUCCCGUAUCCAAAAUUCAUGCUAAGACAUCGAAUGCUAGACAAAUUCUGAAAGUGAUUGUGAGUUUGUGAUGCAAGAAAUGUGAAUGUUUCUUCCUCCUACGGCUGGAAAGACACAGAUCAUUAUUUGAUAAGAUGUACUGGUACCGUAUCGUCGUUUGCAAUGUACAAGAACGGCAGUGCUGUGUACUUGUGUGUGUAUACUGUGACUCUGAGGCUUUGGUUGCCAAUCAAGCGGCUGAGAGAUUGACAGAAAGGCUCCAUAUCCAAAUGGGUGAUUUCAUCCCUGAAGUUCAACAAGUUAGUAACCGAGGCGGUGAAAUUGAUAUGAUGAUGAGGGAUCGGAAGAAGGAUUAGAUGAUGACGGAUCGGAUGAUGAAGGAGAGGGUGAUGGUGAUUGAGGGCGCUUUGUUCCUACAAGAGGUAUCUCUUUCAGUCAGUAGUGCUAUAUCAGGCAAUGGAAGUAAUAGAAGCUUUACCAUACAGCUGGGAUGAUGCUAACACCGCUGAUGGAAGACAAUAGUACAUGUACCUAAACUUUACCAUACGGCUGGGAGGAUGCUAACACAGCUGAAAGAAGAAAGUAGUACCUAAACUUUACCAUACGGCUGGGAUGAUGCUAACACCGCUGAUGGAAGACAAUAGUACAUGUACCUAAACUUUACCAUACAGCUGGGAUGAUGCUAACACCGCUGAUGGAAGACAAUAGUACAUGUACCUAAACUUUACCAUACGGCUGGGAGGAUGCUAACACAGCUGAAAGAAGAAAGUAGUACCUAAACUUUACCAUACGGCUGGGAUGAUGCUAACUCCGCUGAUGGAAGACAAUAGUACAUGUACCUAAACUUUACCAUACAGCUGGGAUGAUGCUAACACCGCUGAUGGAAGACAAUAGUACAUGUACCUAAACUUUACCAUACGGCUGGGAGGAUGCUAACACAGCUGAAAGAAGAAAGUAGUACCUAAAGCAUGUCACUCAGUGUACAACAUGGACACACCCCCUUUCAGAUGCUAACCAUCUUCCAAGCAUAAAUGAGAGAUACUGGUAGUCUCCCUGAGACAAGGACAUAGAUGGUACCAAUCUUGAAUCUUCAUCUACAUGGAAUGUCUGGUGUGAUCACUUGUUGGUAUCUACAUAGAUGUGAUGUAUAAUCCACCUGCAUUGAAAGACCUAUUGUUAUAUCCUUUGAAACAUAUAACAAUGGAACCUUUUCAUAAAUUCUUCUUUUUCUUAUCUAAGAGAGAUAGAUGACUUACCGGGGACUGGCACUUUGACACCAGACAUUAUAAACACUUAUUUUGGUGUUCCACUAAUUAUCUACUUUAUAUGGGAUAUUUGCACCUUGAAAAUCAAAUUGAAUGAACCAAGUGUCAGGUUAAAAAGACUUCAUAUACAUUCGCUACUCUUUAACCAAGUUAGGAAAUAAUGUUUAUUUCUAGGGGCACUUUUCCUGCAUUGGGGGGCGAUUGCUGAAGUUUGGGGCUAAUCAUUUAUUUUCAAAGUCUACUUCAAGCAGUUUUGCUUUUCUCAAUAUAUAUUCCGCUCUAUGUAGAAAUAGAUUUUCAAAACAAUCUAAAAAUUGUAUGUGACACAUCUUGGGGCAACUUUAGAAAAAAUUGUUGCUCUAAAGCGUUCAAAUUUUGGAAUUUCAGGGGGCGAUUUCCUACAUUUUCAUGAGCCCAUCUUGUAUAUGUUUUUAUGACUUGUGUGUAGCUCAAAGGGGCAGGUCCAAGCUAUUAUUUCUGAACAGUAAUUUUCUGUUGAAAAAAAUUAUUCUUCCGUUUCUGAAAACCUUUUAUUCUGCUUCAAACUCGGUCUAAAAUGAAAUUCUGCUUUGUCAUAAAAGAAAAUUUACACGGAACAAACGUGAACCAUUUUGCAAUGAAUUCUCACAAAGAAAGUAUAGAAACAAAACAGAUUUUCUGUUUUGAUUUACCAGUCAACAGAAAAUUACUGUCCCUCACUUCUUGCUUUCAUCCAAAAGUAUCUGAAUUAUCUUUAACAGUUGUUUUUAAAAUACAUGUAGAUGAUUACUAAGAAGGUCAUGGUUACUAGUAGUAAAAAAUACUUUGUGCAUAAGGUUGGGAAUGAUUUGCACACAUUGUGAGGUUUAUAAACAGUAUGGUGUGGUAAUUAGGACUAGUAGGUUUUUGUGGAGUUAACUCGGUUUGCAUGAAGUCAGUAAUUGUAAUACUUUGUGUUGAAUAUUCUGCAAAAGUGGACCCAAAGGUUUUCCAGAGUUUUUCCCUAAUGAGUUUUACCUCUGGUUUUUUUACCCUGGAUCUACUUGUCGUAGAAUUUAAAGGGGAACGCAAGUCCCAAACCAUGGGGAAAUCGAAUCAUAAGCAAUUUGUGAAAGGCUUGUUUACACGCAAUAAUGAUACUGUAAUGCGAGUCUGUUGGAUUAAUGACAUAAAAACUCAGAAAGCGUGAAUUCAACCCAACCCAGGGUCGUUCAUCCUUCGGCCCAGACUCUUGAUUCCAAACCUCUUGUAUCACGCAUAUGCAGGGUUUCCAACCCAUCCAGGAAAUCGGGAAAUUAUUUUACUUUUUUCCAGUCAGGGGAAAAUCAGGGAAUUCGAUUUUGAAAAUACCUCAAAUCAGGGAAAUAUGCCUCAAACGAAGGAAAAAUCAGGGACUUAUGAUCAGCCCAAAAGUCAAAAGCACAGUAGUCAGUCAGAAUCUGUUAUAUUUUGUUACAUAUCAAAACAACAUCCAUCGAAUGACUGGUUAUGGUGGUACUAAGUAGGUUUACAUGAUUAUUUUUAUACUGAAAAUACCUGUAAUUCACUGCAACAACGUAGAAAACGCGCGAAACUUGGAAUGGGUUUAAAUAAAUAUCGGGAUUUUUAAACUUCAUCAGGGAAAUUUGUUUUCUUGAAAAGCUGGGAACCUCGAUGUGUGUUCAAAGUAAAAAUUUAGUUUGCUUCUGGAUGGCUUGGCUGGCUGGUCAGCCUUAAAUCUUAUCCUUCUUCCAGACCCUUCUAGACACACCGACACUAAUAAUACCCCUUUAGGCUUGUGUCAGAUUCUACUUGUAAUUGCUUUUUCCUAUUUGGCCAGCCACCCCCAAACCAAUAAGUUGCCACGGAAGGUUCUCUGUAGAUACAUGUAGUCAGUUUGAUCCUCAAAAUGCUCAAAAUGAAAACAAAAAUAGCUUAUUUUAAAGGGUAAUUCUUCAUUCUAUCAAAGAUUGUAAUUUGGAAAAGUUGAAUAGAAAAAAAAUUAUAUAAGAGUUACUUUAACACAAGGUUUGCAGACUGCUUGAAAGUUCCACAUCUCAUGCUUGAGUGAACUCCAAAUUUUUUAAUGUUGUUUUCUCUUCGUUUUUUGAAGCUCUCGCUUAGUUUUUCUGCGUUCAGUGAAGUUUUUGUGUAUGUUAUUGUUUAUCAAUUGUGAAUAGUUACAAUUCUUAUCUCAUUUGAAAACCCAGGAUGUGCUUUUUCUAACUCAAUAAAAAUCUCAAAAUUCAUUUAGGGCAUCUCAUUGUUGGCUUUGGGGUGGCAGUUUGAUUGACUUAUAGCGUGAAAUUUGAAAUGCAGGGCAAUAUGUAAUGCCACUCAGCAUAGAUUAUUAUCGUAUCGAACCUAAUUGAAGCUGAGCCGAGCAAGACUUGCUUCCCCAUGGUUCAUGACUUGCAUUCUUCUUUAACACAUCCCCCCAAAAAUUCUGUGCACAAUACCUUUAUCAUUGGCUACCCUGGGUGAAAUAUUACAUUAUUAUUAUCAUCAUUAUAUUAAGUUAUUUUCCAUGAAUAUUACCGUGACGAUGUUAACUUUUGUCCAGUUUUGUAAAUUAUCACAAAAGAAGACUUUAUGAUAUGAAUUUUUUAAUUUCAACUUCUAAAUUAGAGAAUAAGGCUAUUUUAAAUGCAGGAAUAGCAAAGUUUGUUAUUGGUUAGUUCAGUCCUUUUGUAUUUCCAAUUUAACAAAACAUUGUAUCAUCUACAUUCCCUACAUAGAUGAUGAAAUUUGAUUUUUUCAAAGGAUUCAAUUAUGUCAUUAACAUAAUUAAAAACAACAACGAUAAACACCCAAGUAUACUUUAUUGCAGGAUAACACAUGUUUUGGAAAGAAUAUCUUUGGAAAAAAUAUCAGAUUAAAAACUAAAUUGGUCUAAAGAUUUGCGAGAUGAAAAAGGUGACUCUGAUCAAAAGUCACAGAGGUCAUUUGGUACCCCAAAAUACAGACAUGCCAACCGUUUCCUUUUUAGAGUAUAUGUUCCUCUUUUUUGCUACGAAUAUGCCAAUAAUUUUCUUUUUAUUUCCGAUCAUGUAGUAUGUAUCAUACACAGCGUGACACUAGCGCCGGUUCAACGGUCCCAGACCGGCAAAAAUCACUGUCGCGCCAGCAACUUUUUGCAUGAAAAGAUUAAGUAAAUUCUUGCCUACGAGUACAUUUUUUAAAUGGUGAAUUUUCAAGUUUUCAAGUCAUUUCACAUGUUUUUCCACCGAUCUCACUACAGCAGGCUGGCGAUUAUUACGUUGAGACAGAUAUUUAGAAAUACUUUUUUUUUUUUUUGUCAGAAAAAUAUAUUUUUCCCCCUUCUAAGAAUACAUUUUUUGUUGUAAUAAUGGUUAUAGCCAAUUUUUAUAUAGCGCCUUCCAGAAUGGCUCAAAGUGCUUUACAGCAUAUUAUUACCUUGGUCAUUGGAUUCAUUUCAAUCCUGCACGAAAAGUGCACAAUUUCCACUCCCUGGGGAGCAUUCCUUGCAUUCAUUGCGGCCUCAUUAUGGCGCUGGCAAAUUCAAAUGUAGAAGGUUGGCAGGUCUGAAAAUAUCCUGUCUAAAUGUAAAAAUGAAUAACCAUUCGAAAAUUCAACUUCAAACGUACCUCUUGCAUAUGAGUGACAAAGAUCAUGAAUCCAUCUAUUUCAUUACAAAUUUUCAGGAGUCGAUUUAAGAUAUGGUGCUAGUGAUGUGAUUUUUCUUUUUGUUUAGAUAUAUCUAGAGUAUAUAGUCCUGGUGUUAGAUUUUUGAAAAGUUUAUGAAUCUAGCAAAAUAAUUAUUGGAACUGUUUCACGAAUAGAUAAAUCUGACUGAAAGUCAUGCCCAAGUGUUAAUGUUUAUAAUGUGCAGUCUCAUCGAUUCAGACACAGUAAAGUGUGUCUUCUAAGGGAGAUCCAAUCAAUAUGAUGAUCCAUCAUUUUCCACAUGCAAAUGAAAAUUUAGAGUGAUUUUUUUGGUCACACUCAAAUGUUUUGUGAAACACUUCUUUGAUUUGUCUCUUAUGUCACAUGUAUGAUAGCUUGGACCUGCCCUAUAAUGUUUGCUUGUCUGUACUAUAUACUUGCUUUUUAUUCAUGUUUCUUUUUAUUUUUUGUUGAAAAAACCCCAGAAUGUAAGACCAGCAGCCCGGAAGAUUCAUUUAAGUUGCAGGACCAAAGCAUUUGACCUCAAUUGAUGGUGGUAGGCCCUGAAUCUUACAAACAUGGCUUCCUGUCUGGUUUGAGCUGGGAUCUUCCUGCCAGAAUCACACAAAUAGCGACAUCACUACUGAGAGAUCUAUUUUUCAGUGUGCAGAAAAGGACACUGUUGUGCAUGGUAUACCACAAUGUAAGUGCUUUAAUAAUGAUUUCAAGGAUAUUUUGUGUAGCCUAGAGUAUGCAAGACAAUGCAAUCGGUUUCCCAGUAAUUUCUAUACCAAGGGCAAUAACCUUUGUGAAAUAUUGAGCAGCAAUUUUCCCCAUAUCAGGAUUUUCUCUCUCUCUUCUUGUAACGACUGUAAUCCCUUCUCUUUUACCUCUACCGUUAUAUCUUCCCAUCCCUGUAUCCUUUUGUUGGGUAUAUGUCAAUCCAUUGAUGAUAGUCUCUCUUUAUAUGCCUCCCUGUACUAUCUGGUGUAGCUGCUGCUCCAACUGAAUCUUUGUUUCACAUUGUUGCAACAUGAUAUUUGCCAUGACUGAUUUAAUGUGCUAAAAGCUAGAUAAACAAUUUUUAUAAAAAAAUUAUAUGAAAUGAAAACUUUGAUCUUAUUUUUUUAUAAUCUGAUAGAGCAAUGUGAAUUAUUUUGCAAUAUAUUUAUAUUCCUUUUCUGUAUGUGUUAUUUCUGGUUCAGACUUAUGUGAAUUGAUAUUUCAAACUUUAUCGCGGUCAUUUCACCAUGUACCUACAUGAACCUCAUGUUGUGCUAGUGUGUGUCCUUCAUGUAUUCACUGAAUGUGAAGAGAUAAUGUGGACUGCACGAAUGUUAAGAUAUGUGAUGAUCAAGUUGGAUUUUCAAAAUAGGUUUGUCUGCCCAAAUCUAAGCUCGGGUAUACAUUUUUCACCCAUUUUUUAGGAGGGUAAUGCACUUCAAUGGUUUUUCCACAAUGUGUAAAUAAAAAAUGUCUCCUUCAAUCAGAGCAAUAUAUGUAAGUCUGGAAUUCUGUUUUAGAAGUGCAAUGUCAAAUUUUGAUUUCUAGAGCCUUGCCAGUGUAGUGUUUCAAGUUGACCCAUAUUGAAAUUAAAAAAUAUUGAUGGAGUUUAGCCAAUAUGGCUUUGGAGCUUGGUGGCAUUGAUCAAGAUCAAUCAAAAACUGGUUUGCACUCCAACUUGACACAGCUAACCAUUUGUUCUGCACAAAGAGAAGAGAGAGGAACUGGCAACGUAUGUUUGAAGAGAGUGCUGCUGACUUCCAGAAAUUUGUUUAACCCUAAUUCUCCCGGGGGGGGGGAGACAAUUUUCGCGAUAUAUCUGCUGCGCGAAAUUUUUUGACCUCGCCGCUCACUGACUUUUUACUUUCAAGUCUCGCGCAAAUUUUGAGACCAAAUUUGUGACGCCCGGUUACGACAUUACGCAACAUUAUAUAAGUGCAUGUCAGACCCAAAAUUGCUCAAAAACGUGAUUUCAUGUACAAAUCCAAUGCAAAUUGUGUAUUUAGCCAAAAUUCAUAAAUGUAUCAUUAUUUCUACUUUUACUGAUUAAACUUAAUUAAUUUUGCCUUGUUUAUGAUCAGAAUUAAGUCUGGAACGAUUUCCAUUGAAAAAACAAUAAAAAACAAAAAGUUAAAAAACAAAGAAAUACAUAAGAAAUUCAUAAAACAAUAAAAUACAUAAGAAAUUGAUUUCCAAACCGAAGUUUUUUUUAAUUGCGAUUAUUAAGAAUGCUUCAAAGAAUAUUUUUACCAAAAAUUAGCAUUCUAGGAGCUUUAUUUAGUGAAUUAGAGCAAAAAGUAUGAUUUAUGCAUAAAUUAGCAUAAUUAAUUCAUAUAAAAUAAAAUCUCAUUAUUUUGGAAAAUUUUACCAUACAGCCUUGUAGAUUACAUCACACACUACCAGCGUGCAAAUUUUUGCGUCGCUUGCGCGAUCGGCGGCCGAGAUCUUAAUGACAAGAAUCAAAAUACCCCGGGAGAUUUAGGGUUAAGUUGCAUGUGGCAUCUUUAUAUUUGGUGUUUGGAAUCUGGUUGUUGCAAUAAUCUUCAAUUACUGUCUGACCACAAGGAAUGGUGUUCCUUUCAGCUGGCGCAUGAUAUCCAGAGCUCUUUAAAACCUCAUGCAAGUCGCACACUUCUUGGACUUGCAAAUGCUGAUAUCUUGUGAGAGUGUUGGCCUUUUUGAGGUGGCAUUAGAUGAAUUCUGAGUGGAUCUAGUUCCAGUUUGUCAUUUGUGUCUUUUCCAGCCAUUUGAUAUUUUCCUGUGUUUAUUGGAUUCCCCCGGAUUUAUUUGACUCUGAUGAAAUGAAGGCAAUGUGAAGUCUUGGUAUUUUAGAGUCAGAGUCAGUAAAGACCAUUUUUUGCUCUUCAUGCAUGCUGAUAUUGUCACCAAAAGGGAAGCUACAUUCAUCUAAUACAUUUUUUGGCUAAGUCUGUGACUCUACUUAUUAAACCACAAUGCACUUGUUUGAAUUCUAUUAAGGAAGAUUCUUGAAGUCUUUGUCAGCAUUCAUUUUCUGUGUCCAGAAGGAAACACUCUUUAGAAAGAAUUUCGAAUAGAUUUCCCGUGUAGAGGAAACUUCAUCACAUUCAGGUAUUCAAAAAUUUAAUCCCUUAAAGUGAGGGGAAGUUACUGUGUUUAACCCUAUAUAGCCCAGGCUAUUUGAAAUUGCACAGCCAGGGGGGGGGGGGGGGGGCUUUUUAGCCCUCCCCCAGCACGAAAUAAAAAGUUUGCUCUAAUUAAGUAAAUAAAGCCCCUAAAAUGCUAUUUUUUAAAUUUAGACUCUUUAUAGAAAUCUGAUCAAAUAUACCUUCAUAAACUUUAGUUUCAACGUCACAUUUAUUUUCUUAUGUAUCUCUCUUUUUUUAUUGUUAUUUAAUGGAAAUUAUCAGGUACUUUAUUUUGACCAUAUACAAGAUAAAAUUGAUUGAUUUUACUCAGUAAAAGGAAAAUAAUGAUACAUUUAUGAAUUUUGGCUAAAAACACUAUUUGCAUGGAUUUAUACACAAAUUUACAUUUGUGGCAAUUUUGGGUCUGCAUACAGUUUACAAAAUGUUGCAUAAUUUCGGAACCACAUACCCAGGGGUCGCAAUUUUGGUCUCAAAAGUUGUGCGAGACUUGAGAAGGUAAAAAGUCAAUGAGCGAAGCGGUCAAAGAAAUUUGCACAGCAGCUGAAAUAGCCCCCCCCCCCCCCCCGUCUUAUUAGGGUUGAACCAGAAUUUUAAAUAUUUUUCUCAGUAUUUUGCUUUAGGUCGAACUUAUUCGAUAACAUCUUUUGGCUACAUAUUAGGCUUAACUCUUAGUCAGCCACAUACCAGACUUAAUCCUGGCUUGCAUAUAGUUUACAAAUGUGAUACACACAGUAACAGAUGAUAGCAUACAUUUUACAGAUUUUUCACAAAAAAAAUGUCAGGGGGGCUAAAAAAAGACCCCUUCCCAUGGGCUAGAUAGGGUUAAGGACAGUUAUGCAUGUACCUGCCUACCAUUACCAGUUUUGGAGAAGGGCCGCCACUCUCAAUGAUUUAAUUUGCUUAUCCUUUGAUCUUGUGCCAUCUAAAACUCUUUCAUGGAAACGUGCAAGUCUUUCACUUUCUUUGCAAAGAUCAUAUACAACGCCCAAUUUCAAACCAUCAUAGAAUUAUUUCCCUCGUCUUUGCUUGUGGUUCCUCUGGUCAUGUCAGAGAAGUUUCUCAGCCAGGUCCUGAACCUUGACAUGAAGUGAUGCUAGGCUGUUCAUUCAUCCAUCUUCCAGUCUUUGGGUAGAGCAGUAAUUGGUAGAUUUUCCAACAGUGUCCUUUUGGCUAAAGAAAUCUAGUGUAGUUGGGUGCUGUCUGUCAGAUUUGACAUUGCACGUUUUGGUAGGUUGUUCCAACACUCCACGACCCUUUGGCUAAAGUGGUUUCUUCCAUCCAGUCUGGAACAACUUUAGGCAAUUUUAUUGAGUGCUGUCUUUGAGAGUUGUCAUUUGUUAUUGAUGAUCAUUCGGCUGAAGGAAUGGUUUCUUAUAUCCAUGGAAAGAUUUUUUUUGAAAUUUUAUUGGAUGCUUUCUCUGAAAUUUGACAUGUCACUUCACUACUAGGGUUCAUGCACUGUAUUGUAAUGAUUGAUGGGGGAUUAUAAACCAUUGUGGGAUAUGAAGUGUGCUCCCUCAGGACAAGCCUAUGUUGAGGUCCUAACUUAUUAGAUCUAUCUUUCAUUGUCGGUGCCUCGCCUGAUCACUCAGAGUUCAUGGAGGCAUGAGGGAUACAGUAUGCAAGCAAACAUUUGGUUCAUGUAUGAUGGUGAAUGAAUAAAUUAGCUCGACAGGGGGAAAAAAUAAAUAUUUUCUCCUUUUGGUUUCUAUUUUGCUCAAAAUGCAGUUCAUUGAAAUUCAUAGAAAUGCAAUUGCGUCAUGUACCGAAAAAGAGUAUAUUUAUUUGCAAUAUAUUUCUAGGAUAUUCCAUUUGCUCUUAUGAAAAGAAAAGCCCCCCCCCCCCUCAAAAAAUAAAAAAGCCAAUGAACAUUUUUUUAAUGUGAUGAUAUAAAUUGAAUCAUAAUAAAAAUAUGAAAAUGAUAUUAUUACUCAAAAAUAUUAAAUUGAAAAUUGGAACACAGGUGUCAGUCAUGGAUAGUUAAUGUUGAAAGGAUGUGAAAUGAUUGACAAUGGGCAGAUACAGGGAGCUUUUCAUGACAAGUUCUGUUCGCGAUUAUCACUAAUUUGCUCUAAGCCAAUCAGAUGGAAGGAUUCCUUGGUGAAAAACACCCACAACAAUUUUCAUGGAAUGCUUUCCUGGAUGGAUAGUACAGGGAGGUAUACAAAGAGAGCACAAUCAGUGGAUUAACUGCUAUUUGUGUUGAAAGGGAGGGGGCAGAUUAUUAAAGGAUAUGAGGUUUUAGUUUUGUUCAAGGGUGAUUAAAAAGACUUAUGGCAAGGUAGAGGAAUGGGGGGUAAAUAAAGAUGGGGGGAUUAACAGAAAUUUAUUUUCGAGGCAAAAAUUUAGAUACAAGUCCCCCUCCCCCUUCCAAAAAAGAGUAACUGUUGCCCCAUCAAUGCAUUGUUAUGCAUACUGUUGGCUACACAACAUAUCAUUGAUAGAGCACUUUCAUUGUGGCAAGUUGUAUACCAUGCACAACAGUAUCAAGUGAACUUCUCUGUACACUGAAAAAUGGGUCUCUUGGUAGUGACAUCACUAAUUGUGUGAUUUUUGACAAGGAGACCCAGCUCAGGCUACUGGCCAUUAUGUGAGGGUCAGGGUUUGCCUCAUUGAAGCAAGAGGUCAGCUGCUACGGUAUCCUGUAUACUUGAGUGAAUCUUCUUGGCUGCUGGUCCUUUUU